rnacentral:rRNA from 1 species
GGCGGCGUGCCUAAUACAUGCAAGUAGAACGCUGAAGGAGGAGCUUGCUCUUCUGGAAGAGUUGCGAACGGGUGAGUAACGCGUAGGUAACCUGCCUGGUAGCGGGGGAUAACUAUUGGAAACGAUAGCUAAUACCGCAUAAGAUUGAAUAUCGCAUGAUAAUUGAUUAAAAGAUGCAAUUGCAUCACUACCAGAUGGACCUGCGUUGUAUUAGCUAGUAGGUGAGGUAACGGCUCACCUAGGCGACGAUACAUAGCCGGCCUGAGAGGGUGAUCGGCCACACUGGGACUGAGACACGGCCCAGACUCCUACGGGAGGCAGCAGUAGGGAAUCUUCGGCAAUGGGGGCAACCCUGACCGAGCAACGCCGCGUGAGUGAAGAAGGUUUUCGGAUCGUAAAGCUCUGUUGUAAGAGAAGAACGAGUGUGAGAGUGGAAAGUUCACACUGUGACGGAU